UAGGGAAUCUUCCACAAUGGACACAAGUCUGAUGGAGCAACGCCGCGUGAGUGAAGAAGGCUUUCGGGUCGUAAAACUCUGUUAUUGAAGAAGAACGUGUGUGACAGUAACUGGUCAUGCAGUGACGGCAUUCAAUCAGAAAGUCACGGCUAACUACGUGCCAGCAGCCGCGGUAAUACGUAGGUGGCAAGCGUUGUCCGGAUUUAUUGGGCGUAAAGCGAGUGCAGGCGGUCUUUUAAGUCUGAUGUGAAAGCCUUCGGCUUAACCGAAGAAGGGCAUCGGAAACUGGAGACUUGAGUGCAGAAGAGGAGAGUGGAACUCCAUGUGUAGCGGUGAAAUGCGUAGAUAUAUGGAAGAACACCAGUGGCGAAGGCGGCUCUCUGGUCUGUAACUGACGCUGAGGCUCGAAAGCGUGGGUAGCAAACAGGAUUAGAUACCCUGGUAGU
rnacentral:rRNA from 1 species